GUAGUAUUCCCUCCGUCCCAAAAUUCUUGUCUUACAUUUGUUUAGAUAUGGAUGUAUCUAACACUAAAAUGUAACUAGAUACAUCCGUAUUUAGAUAAAUUUAAGACAAGAAUUUUGGGACGGAGGGAGUACAAA
rnacentral:pre_miRNA from 1 species